CUUGAGCUCUAUAAGAGGUCCAGCCUGCCCAGUGACUCUGUUCAACGGCCGCGGUAUCCUAACCGUGCGAAGGUAGCGUAAUCACUUGUUCUUUAAAUGCGGACUAGUAUGAAUGGCACUACGAGGGUUAUACUGUCUCCUUUUUCUAAUCAGUGAAACUAAUUUUCCCGUGAAGAAGCGGGGAUAUAACUAUAAGACGAGAAGACCCUAUGGAGCUUUAAACAACCCAGCAAUUACUUCUAAAAUUAUAAAUUUCAGAAUAUCCACUUUUUAAGUUAUAUGUCUGCAAGUUUUUGGUUGGGGUGACCAUGGAGUAUAACAUAACCUCCAUAUUGAAUGAAUUCCCUUCUAAGCUAAAAAUUACCAAUUGAAGCAUCAACAUACUGACAUCUAUUGACCCAAUAUAUUUGAUCAACGAAC
rnacentral:rRNA from 1 species